rnacentral:rRNA from 1 species
GAGUUUGAUCCUGGCUCAGAUUGAACGCUGGCGGCAGGCCUAGCACAUGCAAGUCGGGCGGUAGAGAGAAGCUUGCUUCUCUUGAGAGCGGCGGACGGGUGAGUAAUGCCUAGGAAUCUGCCUGGUAGUGGGGGGAUAACGCUCGGAAACGGACGCUAAUACCGCAUACGUCCUACGGGAGAAAGCAGGGGACCUUCGGGCCUUGCGCUAUCAGAUGAGCCUAGGUCGGAUUAGCUAGUUGGUGAGGUAAUGGCUCACCAAGGCGACGAUCCGUAACUGGUCUGAGAGGAUGAUCAGUCACACUGGAACUGAGACACGGUCCAGACUCCUACGGGAGGCAGCAGUGGGGAAUAUUGGACAAUGGGCGAAAGCCUGAUCCAGCCAUGCCGCGUGUGUGAAGAAGGUCUUCGGAUUGUAAAGCACUUUAAGUUGGGAGGAAGGGCAGUAAAUUAAUACUUUGCUGUUUGACGUUACCGACAGAAUAAGCACCGGCUAACUCUGUGCCAGCACG